AUUGAACGCUGGCGGAAUGCUUUACACAUGCAAGUCGGGCGGCAGCACGGGGGCAACCCUGGUGGCGAGCGGCGAACGGGUGAGUAAUACAUCGGAACAUGCCCAGUCGUGGGGGAUAACACUUCGAAAGAAGUGCUAAUACCGCAUACGUCCUGAGGGAGAAAGCGGGGGAUCGCAAGACCUCGCGCGAUUGGAGUGGCCGAUGUCAGAUUAGCUAGUUGGUGGAGUAAAGGCCUACCAAGGCAACGAUCUGCAGCUGGUCUGAGAGGAUGAUCAGCCACACUGGGACUGAGACACGGCCCAGACUCCUACGGGAGGCAGCAGUGGGGAAUUUUGGACAAUGGGGGCAACCCUGAUCCAGCCAUUCCGCGUGAGUGAAGAAGGCCUUCGGGUUGUAAAGCUCUUUCGGCAGGAACGAAACGGUGAGCUCUAACAUAGCUUGCUAAUGACGGUACCUGAAGAAGAAGCACCGGCUAACUACGUGCCAGCAGCCGCCGUAACAC
rnacentral:rRNA from 1 species